CAGGGAUGAAGUUGACAAUGCCAAGAAACUUUUUAUGAUUAUUUUAUUACUUAAAUCUGAAAAAUAAUGCAAUCUUAAAAUAUCUAGUUAUUUGGAAGAUUUAAAUGGAAGAGUAAACUUGCUCAUGAUGCCAUGGAAAUGCAAAGAAAAGAAACUAUUCUUAAAAUGUUACUGUGGGUAUUUUCUGUAAAUAAAGACUGGAUUUAAUGUUGCUUUGGGGUUUUUUUUUAAGCUGAACUAAAUAAAGAUUUGUGAAA
rnacentral:lncRNA from 1 species